rnacentral:rRNA from 1 species
UACGAAGGGGGCUAGCGUUGCUCGGAAUCACUGGGCGUAAAGCGCACGUAGGCGGAUUGCUAAGUCAGGGGUGAAAUCCUGGAGCUCAACUCCAGAACUGCCUUUGAUACUGGCGUCCUUGAGUCCGGGAGAGGUGAGUGGAACUGCGAGUGUAGAGGUGAAAUUCGUAGAUAUUCGCAAGAACACCAGUGGCGAAGGCGGCUUGCUGGGCAUGAUCUGACGCUGAGGCGCGAAAGCGUGGGGAGCAAACAGG